rnacentral:rRNA from 1 species
AACGAACGCUGGCGGCAGGCUUAACACAUGCAAGUCGAGCGCCCCGCAAGGGGAGCGGCAGACGGGUGAGUAACGCGUGGGAAUCUACCCAUCUCUACGGAACAACGCAUGGAAACGUGUGCUAAUACCGUAUGCGUCCUUCGGGAGAAAGAUUUAUCGGAGAUGGAUGAGCCCGCGUUGGAUUAGCUAGUUGGUGGGGUAAAGGCCUACCAAGGCGACGAUCCAUAGCUGGUCUGAGAGGAUGAUCAGCCACACUGGGACUGAGACACGGCCCAGACUCCUACGGGAGGCAGCAGUGGGGAAUAUUGGACAAUGGGCGCAAGCCUGAUCCAGCCAUGCCGCGUGAGUGAUGAAGGCCCUAGGGUUGUAAAGCUCUUUCACCGGUGAAGAUAAUGACGGUAACCGGAGAAGAAGCCCCGGCUAACUUCGUGCCAGCCGCCGCGGUAAUAC